rnacentral:rRNA from 1 species
CCUACGGGUGGCAGCAGUGAGGAAUAUUGGUCAAUGGCCGUAAGGCUGAACCAGCCAAGUCGCGUGAAGGAAGAAGGAUCUAUGGUUUGUAAACUUCUUUUAUAAAGGAAUAAAACGAGGCACGUGUGCCUUUUUGCAUGUACUUUAUGAAUAAGGAUCGGCUAACUCCGUGCCAGCAGCCGCGGUAAUACGGAGGAUCCGAGCGUUAUCCGGAUUUAUUGGGUUUAAAGGGAGCGUAGAUGGGUGGUUAAGUCAGUUGUGAAAGUUUGCGGCUCAACCGUAAAAUUGCAAUUGAUACUGGCAGGCUUGAGUACAGUAGAGGUAGGCGGAAUUCGUGGUGUAGCGGUGAAAUGCUUAGAUAUUACGAAGAACACCGAUGGCGAAGGCAGCUUACUAAACUGUGACUGACAUUGAUGCUCGAAAGUGUGGGGAUCAAACAGGAUUAGAUACCCGAGUAGUC